rnacentral:rRNA from 1 species
UACGUAGGGGGCAAGCGUUGUCCGGAAUUAUUGGGCGUAAAGGGCGUGUAGGCGGUAUCGUAAGUCAGGUGUGAAAGUUUGAGGCUUAACCUCAAAAUUGCACUUGAAACUGCAAUACUUGAGUACUGGAGAGGUAAGUGGAAUUCCUAGUGUAGCGGUGAAAAUGCGUAGAUAUUAGGAGGAACACCAGUGGCGAAGGCGACUUACUGGACAGUUACUGACGCUGAGGCGCGAAAGCGUGGGGAGCAAACAGG